UUAUUUAAAACUAAUUAUCUAAUUGGCUAAGAUUAUGACAGAGAUUGAAAGUUGGAAAAUACUUUUUAGAAAACCGAUAGAGAAGACAGUACCCAAGGAAGAAUCCACCUAGACUUCACUUAGUACCUUUGAGUUAGACGAUUUAUUCUCUUGACUUAAUCCGUAGAAAUCCCUGAUUUAUGUUAAUAUCUCUCUCGGGACUAAAAACAAC
rnacentral:lncRNA from 1 species